GUAGGGUGCGAGCGUUAAUCGGAAUUACUGGGCGUAAAGCGUGCGCAGGCGGUUCGUCGUGUCCGAUGUGAAAGCCCCGAGCUCAACCUGGGAAUGGCAUUGGAAACUGGCGGGCUUGAGUGUGGCAGAGGGGGGUGGAAUUCCGCGUGUAGCAGUGAAAUGCGUAGAGAUGCGGAGGAACACCGAUGGCGAAGGCAGCCCCCUGGGCUAACACUGACGCUCAGGCACGAAAGCGUGGGGAGCAAACAGGAUUAGAUACCCUGGUAGUCCACGCCCUAAACGAUGAUCACUAGGUGUUCGGGGAGCGAUCUCUGAGUACCGUAGCUAACGCGUGAAGUGAUCCGCCUGGGGAGUACGGUCGCAAGAUUA
rnacentral:rRNA from 1 species